rnacentral:rRNA from 1 species
AGAGUUUGAUCCUGGCUCAGAACGAACGCUGGCGGCGUGCCUAACACAUGCAAGUCGUACGAGAAAUCCUGGGCAACCGGGAAAGUAAAGUGGCGCACGGGUGAGUAGCGCGUGGGUAACCUACCCUUGGAUUUGGGAUAACUCCGCGAAAGCGGGGUUAAUACCGGAUGAUAUUCCGAUUCCUAAGGGGAUUGGAAUCAAAGGUGGCCUCUGCAUGCAAGCUACUGUCUAAGGAUGGGCCCGCGUACCAUUAGCUAGUUGGCAGGGUAAUGGCCUACCAAGGCAACGAUGGUUAGCUGGUCUUAGAGGAUGGCCAGCCACACUGGAACUGAGACACGGUCCAGACUCCUACGGGAGGCAGCAGUGGGGAAUCUUGCGCAAUGGGGGAAACCUUGACGCAGCAACGCCGCGUGGGUGAUGAAGGCCUUCGGGUCGUAAAGCCCUGUCAGGUGGGAAGAAACAUAUCGGUGCUAAUAUCACCGAUGUUUGACGGUACCGCCGGAGGAAGCACCGGCUAACUCCGUGCCAGCAGCCGCGGUAAUACGGAGGGUGCAAGCGUUGUUCGGAAUUACUGGGCGUAAAGCGCGUGUAGGCGGUCGGGCAAGUCAGAUGUGAAAGCCUUCCGCUUAACGGAAGAAGUGCAUUUGAUACUACCCGGCUGGAGUACGGGAGAGGAGAGUGGAAUUCCCGGUGUAGAGGUGAAAAUUCGUAGAUAUCGGGAGGAACACCAGUGGCGAAGGCGGCUCUCUGGUCCGAUACUGACGCUGAGACGCGAAAGCGUGGGGGAGCAAACAGGAUUA